UACGUAGGGAGCGAGCGUUGUCCGGAUUCAUUGGGCGUAAAGAGCUCGUAGGCGGCUUGGUAAGUCGGAUGUGAAACCUCCAGGCUCAACCUGGAGUCGCCAUCCGAUACUGCCAUGGCUAGAGUCCGGUAGGGGCCCACGGAAUUCAUGGUGUAGCGGUGAAAUGCGCAGAUAUCAGGAGGAACACCGAUGGCGAAGGCAGUGGGCUGGGCCGGCACUGACGCUGAGGAGCGAAAGCGUGGGGAGCGAACAGG
rnacentral:rRNA from 1 species